rnacentral:lncRNA from 10 species
CCAGAAGGUGAAACUGUCCUUGCUCACUCUCUCUUUCACUUAAAAUGUAACUCCACCUGGAAACAAAGAAUUUGCCCAGAAGAGCAUCGCCUGCAACACAGAUUUUUUUUCCCACAAAUUUCAGUUUUCCUCUUUCUUUUCUUUCUUUCUUUUUUAAAAGCAGGAAUGAAUUCAAUCCUAGAGUCUCAUGAGAAGAGAUCACUCAGCCUGUUAGAAGGACCAUCCUGUCUGGAAUCACAGGAAUUAAGAGAAACCACAACUUUGCUCAACGCUCAGUGCAACAUAAAACAUGUUAGCACUUGGGAAAAGGCAGGGCAGAAGAUCCAGAAUUAUUAGAUAAUGAUAACCUAAAGCUGUACAAUAUAAAUUACUGACAGUUUCCCCCUGGAAGACUGAAAAUAAAAUUACCUGAAGCCAACAGAAUUCCUCAGCAUACAAAGGCAAACUCUAAAAUAGCAAACGUGUGCUGGAGCUUUGCACAUUUCCAGGUAACUUUCUGUACACAAAUAUGGAGCAGCCCAUUCCUUACUAGUAAAU